rnacentral:rRNA from 1 species
UACGGAAGGCAGCAGUAGGGAAUCUUCCGCAAUGGACGAAAGUCUGACGGAGCAACGCCGCGUGAACGAUGAAGGCUUUCGGGUCGUAAAGUUCUGUUGUUAGGGAAGAACAAGUACCAGAGUAACUGCUGGUACCUUGACGGUACCUAACCAGAAAGCCACGGCUAACUACGUGCCAGCAGCCGCGGUAAUACGUAGGUGGCAAGCGUUGUCCGGAAUUAUUGGGCGUAAAGCGCGCGCAGGUGGUCCUUUAAGUCUGAUGUGAAAGCCCACGGCUCAACCGUGAGGGUCAUUGGAAACUGGGGGACUUGAGUGCAGAAGAGGAAAGUGGAAUUCCACGUGUAGCGGUGAAAUGCGUAGAGAUGUGGAGGAACACCAGUGGCGAAGGCGACUUUCUGGUCUGUAACUGACACUGAGGCGCGAAAGCGUGGGGAGCGAACAGGGAUUAGAUACCCGU